ensembl:lncRNA
GGAAAGCAGAGAUCGUGACAUUUAUUCAAGGCAUGCUACAAUUAAAGUUGCUUUAGGAAAAAAAUAAGAAGAGAUUCUGAUGCAAUAGUAAUAAUGAGAAUCAUUAUAAUAAUAUCUAUAAUAAUCAUAGUAAUCAAUCGAAAAAUUUCAAAGAAAAUGUUUCUAUAUCAAAUACAGAAACUCCAUUCAACCAUGCACCACAAACAUUUUAAAAUAUGUUUCUUUAAUAGUUUCAUUUUCUAUUUGCAUUCUAAUGACAUCAACUCAUAAGGAAACCUGUUGUUUCUCACCCCAAACCUUCCGUCCCCACGACGUCACACACACUGCUUUACAAAUCAAUCCUGGUAUGAUAUCAAAAUACACAAGUUGUUUUUCAUGUUGUGUUCAUCUUUAAAUAUAUAUUAAAAAAACAAACAGUUGAAGGUCCAAUGCAGCUGUUUUUUAAAUGUUUAAAUCUCAGUAUCAAAUACUUUCUGGGUAAAAAUUAAGAACCUAACUGUGAUUUAUAUUAUCAAAAAGAAACAAAAAUAGCUUCUUAGCAAAGAGCAAAUAUCUCAAGUAAGAAUUUAGAUAGGACUGUCUGGGAGUGGUCUGAGUGGGGAGGGGAAAACUCAAAACGAGCUGUUAUUGGCAGAGAGGUUUGGAACUCUUUCUUAUUGGUCUAUUAACUGGUGAUGUCACCAGGCAGGCUAAAACUCCAUCCCACCGAAACGGGCUGACAUUUCAGGCAGUCUUUUCAAACAGCUCUUACACUAAAGGGGCAUUAUCAUCAUUUUAGCAAUUUCACAGUAUUUUUCCAACCUCAUAGCAUGGAAAUAUCAAAACACAGGUAAAUCACAUUUUUGAGUGCACUGGGACUUUAAUGUUUCUCGUUAUUGUUGUUAUUUGUAGCUUUCUUGUUCUCAUGAACCAUUUUGGCCAAGUUUGAAAAGGGAACAUUUUUAAAUACAGACUUUCUUGUUGUCUAUUUUGGUCGUGAAACAUUGAAUAUUAACUAUAAAUAAGGUAUAUUAUCAAGACGUGCCUUAAAGAGACAAGAAAUCAGAUCAGAUGAGACACUUUCCUGUGUCCCAAAUGACACUAUAUCCUCUAUAUAGUGCACAACUUACGUUCAGGGCCCAUAGGGCUCAUGUCCAAAAAAGUAGUGCACUACGUAGAGAUAAGUGUGCCGUUUUGGAUGCACCCCUCUGACUGAGCUCUGUGUAACUACAUGGCUCUUUAAAAUGUCAAAUCUCUCCCUUUAGUAAUCAUGAAACUGGACGUCUAUUCAACUUCUCCAAUCAUUUGUCUCCCAUAUAAUUCAGUGAUAUUGACAGGAAAAGUCACUAUUAAAGUAACACUAUUGUAGUAAACUCAGGGGGGCUGGGGGGUAUCCCCGGCCAGGACUCGAACCCUGGUCCAGUGAGGGUCACUACACUAUGAUUGGUUGUUGUAAUAAGAGGAUUCAGCUCCUUUGGUUUCAGUUCAUGUGUUGUCUUCUUCUUGUACAACUCAAAGUAAAGCUAAAGGUACAUUUGUUUUGUUUGUUUUUUUGCGUUUUAUUACGUGAGUCUGUGGGAAUCAAUGGGCUAGCCUGGAAUCCAACCUGAUUUCAUUAUGUUUCAUUACGUUUCACUGUUUCAGUCUGGGUUAACCAGGCUAGGAAUGGGCUCCCUUAAUAUGGAUUCCUGUCAAAAUGUUGUAAAUUAUAUUUUGACUGAAAUGUAUAUCUAUAACUUACUUUACCCCUGUUUUGAGAGAGCCAAUGACCUCGUCUUCAGCAAUGACGGUCUUUAAUUUAAACAAUAGUGAUGGAUGAGGGAACCAUGGGAUGACGGUCUUUAAUUUAAACAAUAGUGAUGGAUGAGGGAACCAGGGGAUGACAGUCUUUAAUUUAAACAAUAGUGAUGGAUGAGGGAACCAGGGGAUGACAGUCUUUAAUUUAAACAAUAGUGAUGGAUGAGGGAACCAUGGGAUGACAGUCUUUAAUUUAAACAAUAGUGAUGGAUGAGGGAACCAAGGGAUGACAGUCUUUAAUUUAAACAAUAGUGAUGGAUGAGGGAACCAGGGGAUGACAGUCUUUAAUUUAAACAAUAGUGAUGGAUGAGGGAACCAGGGGAUGACAGUCUUUAAUUUAAACAAUAGUGAUGGAUGAGGGAACCAGGGGAUGACAGUCUUUAAUUUAAACAAUAGUGAUGGAUGAGGGAACCAGGGGAUGACAGUCUUUAAUUUAAACAAUAGUGAUGGAUGAGGGAACUAGGGCAUGAAAAACAGAUCAAUGAAAGGCACAUCAACUUUGGUCCUGUUUGUUUCUGUUGUUUGUGACUCUUCAGUAUAAAAAACAGUUGAUAAUGUAAAAGUAAAAUGUUAAUCACAAUUGAAAAGAAAAGUCUGUCAUCAUGGCUGAACUAUGCUGCCUGAGUUAAGGCAUGACUGUGGAAGCGUCCCAAAUGCAACCCUAUUCCCUAUACAGGGACCGUAGGCUCUGAUCAAAAGUAGUGCACUAUGUAGGGAAUAGGGUGCCAUUUGGGAGACCUAGAAACGUUUAGACGUUCUAUAACAUUCAGAGACCUAGAACAUUCAGACAUUCUAGAAUGAUCAGCUUUCAUGAUGACACAGAAGGUUUUACAGUCAUCCUGCUUUCUUCCUGUUCACAAAUGAAAAUGUUUUAAAUGACAGAGAGAGUCGAUCCACAGAAAUAGGAGUAUGAUGAAGACCACGACCAAGGCAGCUCAGCGGAGACUAGCUCUGGUCCAGGGUGUUACAUGAAGCGCAGCAUCAAUAACCAGUAUGGUGGGUUAUACGAGGUUCACGGUCUGAACCAGCCCUCAGAUACCACAGCAUUAUUGGGCCCUAUUCCCUAUACCGGGCACUACUUUUGAUGCACCCAAAAAACUUGGGGUCGAGGUCAGUGCCAGGGGGGACUCCUGUGGCGCCGUAAAAAAAAAAAAGUAGUGCAUUAUAUAGGGAAGAGGGUGGUAUUUCAGACACACAUUCUCAGGGCUUUCUGCAGACUCAAACACCUGUUGUUAUGAAAAGCAGAGUGACAGACAACCAGUUCACCUUUAAAAGAGAGAAAAAAAAUGCACUACAGAUAUCAGUACGGAUCAAAAAGCAGGCAACCAAAAUACCCUAACAUGAAUAAUAUGAGAAACAAGUCAAAUAAAGAUUACAACUCAAAAACACACAGAUGGGAGGUUCUCUUACAUCUUCACUCAAAAAUAGCUAAAUGAAGGAAAACCUGAAAUGACCUAAGUGGGUGUUGUGGGCCUUAACAUCAGAGGAAUAACAUUUAUACACAGGGUUUGGGUAGGUUACUUUAGAAAUAAAAAUUAAUUAUUUUUAUUGUCCUCAUCAGAUUUGCUAAACAGAACUCAGUCAGUAUUGACUUAGAUUGUGUUACAUGUUUUAGACCUGAGCUACAUUCUGCAUCAAAAGGCAUUAGUUCUGUUAAUGGUGCUGUAGAACGGUCUAGAAGAUGGGGAUGUGACGCCAGUAACAACAGAUCAUCAGUCACAAAUAAGUGAAGAAGAAUGAAUACGGAGUCAAACAUUUUACACACACACACUACACACACUACACACACACACACACACACUACACACACUACACACACACACACACACACACACUACACACACACACACACACACACACACACACACACACACACUACACACACACACUACACACACACACUACACACACACACUACACACACACACUACACACACACACUACACACACACACACACACACACACACACACACACACACUACACACACACACACUACACACACUACACACACACACACACACACACACUACACACACACACACACACACACACUACACACACACACACACACACACUACACACACACUACACACACACACACACACACACUACACUACACACACACACACUACACACACACACUACACACACACACACACACACACACACACUACACACACACACACACACUACACACACACACACACACUACACACACACACACACUACACACACACACACACUACACACACACACUACACACACACUACACACACACACACACUACACACACACACACACACACACACUACACACACACACACACACACACACACUACACACACACACUACACACACACACUACACAAACACACUACACACACACCACACAUACACACUACACACACUACACACACACACACACACACCACUACACACACACACACUACACUACAAGGCACACACACACACCACUACACUACACACAUACACACACCACUACACUACACACAUACACACACUACACACACACAAACACACUACACACUACACACACACUACACACACACACACUA